AAGAUUAAGCCAUGCAUGUCUGAGUACACACUCUAGCACAGUGAAACUGCGAAUGGCUCAUUAAAUCAGUUAUGGUUCCUUUGGUUGUUUCUUUACACGGAUAACUGUGGCAAUUCUAGAGCUAAUACAUGCGGUAAAACGUCGUUCCCUCGCGGCACGGCGUGCUUUUAUUAGGUGUCUUAAACCAACCGGGUCGCGUCUCGCGGCCCGUAUCGUUGACGAAUCUGAAUAACAUCGACGAUCGCACAGCCUCGCGCUGGCGACGAACCAUUCGAGUGUCUGCCCUAUCAACUUUCGAUGGUAGGUUAUACGCCUACCAUGGUUAUAACGGGUAACGGAGAAUCAGGGUUCGAUUCCGGAGAGGGAGCCUGAGAAACGGCUACCACAUCCAAGGAAGGCAGCAGGCGCGCAAAUUACCCAAUUCCGACUCGGAGAGGUAGUGACAAGAAAUAAAAAUGCAGGACUCAUACGAGGCCCUGUAAUUUGAAUGAGUACAAUUUAAAUCCUUUAACGAGGAUCGAUUGGAGGGCAAGUCUGGUGCCAGCAGCCGCGGUAAUUCCAGCUCCAAUAGCGUAUAUUAAAGUUGUUGCGGUUAAAACGCUCGUAGUUGGAUCUCUCGCCCCGACGGCCCGGUUCCCCUUUACGGUGGAUACUGGCCGGCGAGGCGUCACACUUGCAGUGUCCGUUGCGCGUGCGCUUUACUGCGUGCGUGGAACGCCUGCAGCGUUUACUUUGAACAAAUUAGAGUGCUCAAAGCAGGCUAGCCGCCUAAAUAUCUCAGCAUGGAAUAAUGGAAAAGGACCUCGGAUUCCUUUGUUGGUUUAGUCUCCCGAGGUAAUGAUCGAGAGGGACAGACGGAGGCAUUCGUAUUGCGACGUUAGAGGUGAAAUUCUUGGAUCGUCGCAAGACGGACUACUGCGAAAGCAUUUGCCGAGGAUGUUUUCAUUGAUCAAGAACGAAAGUCGGGGGCUCGAAGACGAUCAGAUACCGCCGUAGUUCCAACCAUAAACGAUGCCGACCAGCGAUCUGCGGGCGUUUCAUGAUGACCCCGCAGGCAGCCCAUGGGAAACCAGAGUCUUCGGGUUCUGGGGGGAAUAUAGCUGCAAAGCUGAAACUUAAAGGAAUUGACGGAAGGGCACCACCAGGGAGUGGAGCCUGCGGCUUAAUUUGACUCAACACGGGAAAACUCACCCGGCCCGGACACAGUAAGGAUUGACAGACUGAGAGCUCUUUCUCGAUUCUGUGGUAGGUGGUGCAUGGCCGUUCUUAGUUGGUGGGGUGACUUGUCUGGUUAAUUCCGAUAACGAACGAGACUCCAGCUUGCUAAAUAGGGGGUCGGCUGCGCAUGCGUGGCCAGGUCAUUUUCCUUCUUAGAAGGACGACCAGCGUCUAGCUGGAUGAAAUGGAGCAAUAACAGGUCUGUGAUGCCCUUAGAUGUUCGGGGCCGCACGCGCGCUACAAUGGAAGGCUCAGCGGGUGUGACUUCCCUGCGCCGAGAGGCGUGGGUAACCCUUUCAGAACCUUCCGUGCUUGGGAUAGCGGUUUGCAAUUGUCCCCCUUGAACGAGGAAUUCCCAGUAAACGCAAGUCAUAAGCUUGCAUUGAUUACGUCCCUGCCCUUUGUACACACCGCCCGUCGCUACUACCGAUUGAGUGACCCGGUGAGCUCAUUGGAUCUUGGGUCGUUGGGGCAACCCGGCGAUCCGACGAGAAGCUGCGCAAGCCGUAUCACUUAGAGGAAGAAAAGUGNACAA
rnacentral:rRNA from 1 species